AUUGAACGCUGGCGGCAGGCCUAACACAUGCAAGUCGAACGGUAACAGGAAGCAGCUUGCUGCUUUGCUGACGAGUGGCGGACGGGUGAGUAAUGUCUGGGAAACUGCCCGAUGGAGGGGGAUAACUACUGGAAACGGUAGCUAAUACCGCAUAACGUCGCAAGACCAAAGAGGGGGACCUUAGGGCCUCUUGCCAUCGGAUGUGCCCAGAUGGGAUUAGCUAGUAGGUGGGGUAACGGCUCACCUAGGCGACGAUCCCUAGCUGGUCUGAGAGGAUGACCAGCCACCCUGGAACUGAGACACGGCCCAGCCCCCUAGGGGAGGCAGCAGGGGGGAAUAUUGCCAAAUGGGCGCAAGCCUGAGGCAGCCAGGCCGGGUGUAUGAAGAAGGCCUUCGGGUUGUAAAGUACUUUCAGCGGGGAGGAAGGGAGUAAAGUUAAUACCUUUUCUCAUUGACGUUACCCGCAGAAGAAGCACCGGCUAACUCCGU
rnacentral:rRNA from 1 species